AUACGUAGGUGACAAGCGUUAUCCGGAUUUACUGGGCGUAAAGGGCGUGUAGGCGGUCUUGCAAGUCAGAAGUGAAAUUCCUGAGCUCAACUCGGGCGCUGCUUCUGAAACUGCAGGACUUGAGUGCUGGAGGGGAUAGCGGAAUUCCUAGUGGAGCGGUAAAAUGCGCAGAUAUUAAGAAGAACACCGGUGGCGAAGGAGGAAAUUUAGAAAGUAACAGACGUUGAUGGGCGAAAGCGUGUGAAGUAAGCAGGAGUAGAUACCCUGGUUGUCUAGGCCAUAAACAAUGAAUACUAGGUGUAGGGGAUAUCGACUCCCACUGUGCCGCAGUUAACACAAUAAGUAUUCCGCCUGGGGAGUACGUCCGCAAGGUUGAAACUCAAAGGAAUUGACAGGG
rnacentral:rRNA from 1 species